rnacentral:rRNA from 2 species
CUAUAAUGCAGUCGAACGAACUCUGGUAUUGAUUGGUGCUUGCAUCAUGAUUUACAUUUGAGUGAGUGGCGAACUGGUGAGUAACACGUGGGAAACCUGCCCAGAAGCGGGGGAUAACACCUGGAAACAGAUGCUAAUACCGCAUAACAACUUGGACCGCAUGGUCCGAGUUUGAAAGAUGGCUUCGGCUAUCACUUUUGGAUGGUCCCGCGGCGUAUUAGCUAGAUGGUGGGGUAACGGCUCACCAUGGCAAUGAUACGUAGCCGACCUGAGAGGGUAAUCGGCCACAUUGGGACUGAGACACGGCCCAAACUCCUACGGGAGGCAGCAGUAGGGAAUCUUCCACAAUGGACGAAAGUCUGAUGGAGCAACGCCGCGUGAGUGAAGAAGGGUUUCGGCUCGUAAAACUCUGUUGUUAAAGAAGAACAUAUCUGAGAGUAACUGUUCAGGUAUUGACGGUAUUUAACCAGAAAGCCACGGCUAACUACGUGCCAGCAGCCGCGGUAAUACGUAGGUGGCAAGCGUUGUCCGGAUUUAUUGGGCGUAAAGCGAGCGCAGGCGGUUUUUUAAGUCUGAUGUGAAAGCCUUCGGCUCAACCGAAGAAGUGCAUCGGAAACUGGGAAACUUGAGUGCAGAAGAGGACAGUGGAACUCCAUGUGUAGCGGUGAAAUGCGUAGAUAUAUGGAAGAACACCAGUGGCGAAGGCGGCUGUCUGGUCUGUAACUGACGCUGAGGCUCGAAAGUAUGGGUAGCAAACAGGAUUAGAUACCCUGGUAGUCCAUACCGUAAACGAUGAAUGCUAAGUGUUGGAGGGUUUCCGCCCUUCAGUGCUGCAGCUAACGCAUUAAGCAUUCCGCCUGGGGAGUACGGCCGCAAGGCUGAAACUCAAAGGAAUUGACGGGGGCCCGCACAAGCGGUGGAGCAUGUGGUUUAAUUCGAAGCUACGCGAAGAACCUUACCAGGUCUUGACAUACUAUGCAAAUCUAAGAGAUUAGACGU